CCUACGGGUGGCAGCAGUGAGGAAUAUUGGUCAAUGGGCUUACGCCUGAACCAGCCAAGUCGCGUGAGGGAAGACUGCCCUAUGGGUUGUAAACCUCUUUUGUCAGGGAGCAAUUGGCGCUACGUGUAGCGUUAUCGAGAGUACCUGAAGAACAAGCACCGGCUAACUCCGUGCUAGCAGCAGCGGUAAUACGGAGGAGGCGAACGUUAUCCGGAUUUAUUGGGUUUAAAGGGCGUAGAGGCGGGCCUGCAAGUCAGAUGUGAAAAGCACGGGCACAACCUGUGGCCUGCAUUUGAAACUGUAGUUGUUGAGAACUGGAGAGGCCGACGGAAUUCCUAGUGUAGCGGUGAAAUGCGUAGAUAUUAGGAGGAACACCAGUGGCGAAGGCGGUCUGCUGGACAGCAACUGACGCUGAGGCGCGAAAGCGUGGGGAGCAAACAGGAUUAGAUACCCCUGUAGUC
rnacentral:rRNA from 1 species